CAAAAGUCAAACCCUGAGUUUCCGUGUCUAACUUUGACUAUCCGUCUUAUAUGAAAUUUUUUUAUAAUUCGUAUUUUCAUUGUUGUUACUUAGAUGAUAAAACAUGAUUAAUAUUUUAUGCAUGACUUGUCUUUUUUGUUUUUUUCAUAAUAUUUUUAAAUAAGACGGACGGUCAAACGUUGGGCACGAAAACCAGGGUUUGUCUUUUU
rfam:Oryza nivara chromosome 3, whole genome shotgun sequence.